CGCGUAGGCGGGAUUGCAAGUCAGAUGUGAAAUGCUGGGGCUUAACCCUGGAACUGCAUUUGAAACUGUGAUUCUUGAGUAUCGGAGAGGCAGGCGGAAUUCCAAGUGUAGCGGUGGAAUGCGUAGAUAUUUGGAGGAACACCAGUGGCGAAGGCGGCCUGCUGGACGACAACUGACGCUGAGGCGCGAAAGCGUGGGGAGCAAACA
rnacentral:rRNA from 1 species